CUUUCAACCCCAAAGCCACUUGGUGGUAUGGGUUUCCGGGAUAUGUCAUUGUUUAAUCAAGCGAUGCUCGGUAAGCAGGGCUGGAGACUUCUAACGGAACCUGAUUCUUUAUGCGCCCGUGUCUUGAAAGGAAGGUAUUUUCCGACUGGGAACUUUUGGAGUGCCUCAGCACCUCGGACUGCAUCGGCAACUUGGCGUGCUAUCCUUCAUGGCCGAGAGCUGUUGAAACAAGGUGUACAGUGGGGUGUUGGUGAUGGAAGAAGCGUUCAUAUUUUGUCUGAUCAUUGGAUACCGUCUACUCCACCGAUAGUGCUGCACACUAUUUCACCCAUCCCGGCGACGACCACGGUCCAUUGUCUUGUCGACAAAGAGAACAUAUGCUGGGAUGAAGGAAUGGUGAGGGCUUUCUUUUCUGAAAGAGUGGCUUAUGAGAUCCUUCAUAUUCCAAUUCACGGGAUAGGCAGUCCAGAUUAUGUCUGUCUGGUCUCCUUAUAA
rnacentral:rRNA from 1 species